rnacentral:rRNA from 1 species
GACGAACGCUGGCGGCGUGCCUAAUACAUGCAAGUAGAACGCUGAAGAGAGGAGCUUGCUCUUCUUGGAUGAGUUGCGAACGGGUGAGUAACGCGUAGGUAACCUGCCUUGUAGCGGGGGAUAACUAUUGGAAACGAUAGCUAAUACCGCAUAACAAUGGAUGACACAUGUCAUUUAUUUGAAAGGGGCAAUUGCUCCACUACAAGAUGGACCUGCGUUGUAUUAGCUAGUAGGUGAGGUAAUGGCUCACCUAGGCGACGAUACAUAGCCGACCUGAGAGGGUGAUCGGCCACACUGGGACUGAGACACGGCCCAGACUCCUACGGGGGGCAGCAGUAGGGAAUCUUCGGCAAUGGGGGCAACCCUGACCGAGCAACGCCGCGUGAGUGAAGAAGGUUUUCGGAUCGUAAAGCUCUGUUGUAAGUCAAGAACGGGUGUGAGAGUGGAAAGUUCACACUGUGACGGUAGCUUACCAGAAAGAGACGGCUAACUACGUG